rnacentral:rRNA from 1 species
UAUCCUGUCUGAAUAUGGGGGGACCAUCCUCCAAGGCUAAAUACUCCUGACUGACCGAUAGUGAACCAGUACCGUGAGGGAAAGGCGAAAAGAACCCCGGCGAGGGGAGUGAAAAAGAACCUGAAACCGUGUACGUACAAGCAGUGGGAGCACGCUUAGGCGUGUGACUGCGUACCUUUUGUAUAAUGGGUCAGCGACUUAUAUUCUGUAGCAAGGUUAACCGAAUAGGGGAGCCGAAGGGAAACCGAGUCUUAACUGGGCGUUAAGUUGCAGGGUAUAGACCCGAAACCCGGUGAUCUAGCCAUGGGCAGGUUGAAGGUUGGGUAACACUAACUGGAGGACCGAACCGACUAAUGUUGAAAAAUUAGCGGAUGACUUGUGGCUGGGGGUGAAAGGCCAAUCAAACCGGGAGAUAGCUGGUUCUCCCCGAAAGCUAUUUAGGUAGCGCCUCGUGAAUUCAUCUCCGGGGGUAGAGCACUGUUUCGGCAAGGGGGUCAUCCCGACUUACCAACCCGAUGCAAACUGCGAAUACCGGAGAAUGUUAUCACGGGAGACACACGGCGGGUGCUAACGUCCGUCGUGAAGAGGGAAACAACCCAGACCGCCAGCUAAGGUCCCAAAGUCAUGGUUAAGUGGGAAACGAUGUGGGAAGGCCCAGACAGCCAGGAUGUUGGCUUAGAAGCAGCCAUCAUUUAAAGAAAGCGUAAUAGCUCACUGGUCGAGUCGGCCUGCGCGGAAGAUGUAACGGGGCUAAACCAUGCACCGAAGCUGCGGCAGCGACGCUUAUGCGUUGUUGGGUAGGGGAGCGUUCUGUAAGCCUGCGAAGGUGUGCUGUGAGGCAUGCUGGAGGUAUCAGAAGUGCGAAUGCUGACAUAAGUAACGAUAAAGCGGGUGAAAAGCCCGCUCGCCGGAAGACCAAGGGUUCCUGUCCAACGUUAAUCGGGGCAGGGUGAGUCGACCCCUAAGGCGAGGCCGAAAGGCGUAGUCGAUGGGAAACAGGUUAAUAUUCCUGUACUUGGUGUUACUGCGAAGGGGGGACGGAGAAGGCUAUGUUGGCCGGGCGACGGUUGUCCCGGUUUAAGCGUGUAGGCUGGUUUUCCAGGCAAAUCCGGAAAAUCAAGGCUGAGGCGUGAUGACGAGGCACUACGGUGCUGAAGCAACAAAUGCCCUGCUUCCAGGAAAAGCCUCUAAGCAUCAGGUAACAUCAAAUCGUACCCCAAACCGACACAGGUGGUCAGGUAGAGAAUACCAAGGCGCUUGAGAGAACUCGGGUGAAGGAACUAGGCAAAAUGGUGCCGUAACUUCGGGAGAAGGCACGCUGAUAUGUAGGUGAAGUCCCUUGCGGAUGGAGCUGAAAUCAGUCGAAGAUACCAGCUGGCUGCAACUGUUUAUUAAAAACACAGCACUGUGCAAACACGAAAGUGGACGUAUACGGUGUGACGCCUGCCCGGUGCCGGAAGGUUAAUUGAUGGGGUCAGCGCAAGCGAAGCUCUUGAUCGAAGCCCCGGUAAACGGCGGCCGUAACUAUAACGGUCCUAAGGUAGCGAAAUUCCUUGUCGGGUAAGUUCCGACCUGCACGAAUGGCGUAAUGAUGGCCAGGCUGUCUCCACCCGAGACUCAGUGAAAUUGAACUCGCUGUGAAGAUGCAGUGUACCCGCGGCAAGACGGAAAGACCCCGUGAACCUUUACUAUAGCUUGACACUGAACAUUGAGCCUUGAUGUGUAGGAUAGGUGGGAGGCUUUGAAGUGUGGACGCCAGUCUGCAUGGAGCCGGCCUUGAAAUACCACCCUUUAAUGUUUGAUGUUCUAACGUGGACCCGUGAUCCGGGUUGCGGACAGUGUCUGGUGGGUAGUUUGACUGGGGCGGUCUCCUCCUAAAGAGUAACGGAGGAGCACGAAGGUUGGCUAAUCCUGGUCGGACAUCAGGAGGUUAGUGCAAUGGCAUAAGCCAGCUUGACUGCGAGCGUGACGGCGCGAGCAGGUGCGAAAGCAGGUCAUAGUGAUCCGGUGGUUCUGAAUGGAAGGGCCAUCGCUCAACGGAUAAAAGGUACUCCGGGGAUAACAGGCUGAUACCGCCCAAGAGUUCAUAUCGACGGCGGUGUUUGGCACCUCGAUGUCGGCUCAUCACAUCCUGGGGCUGAAGUAGGUCCCAAGGGUAUGGCUGUUCGCCAUUUAAAGUGGUACGCGAGCUGGGUUUAGAACGUCGUGAGACAGUUCGGUCCCUAUCUGCCGUGGGCGCUGGAGAACUGAGGGGGGCUGCUCCUAGUACGAGAGGACCGGAGUGGACGCAUCACUGGUGUUCGGGUUGUCAUGCCAAUGGCACUGCCCGGUAGCUAAAUGCGGAAGAGAUAAGUGCUGAAAGCAUCUAAGCACGAAACUUGCCCCGAGAUGAGUUCUCCCUGACCCUUUAAGGGUCCUGAAGGAACGUUGAAGACGACGACGUUGAUAGGCCGGGUGUGUAAGCGCAGCGAUGCGUUGAGCUAACCGGUACUAAUGAACCGUGAGG